CUCACCAGGUUACUACAGGUAACUCACCAGGUUAUUACAGGUACUGUAACUCAACAGGUUACUACAGGUACUGUAACUCACCAGGUUAUUACAGGUACUGUAACUCAACAGGUUACUACAGGUACUGUAACUCACCAGGUUAUUACAGGUACUGUAACUCAACAGGUUACUACAGGUACUGUAACU